UUGAUUUUUCCUGUGAAAAAUUGUUUUAAGCCUUUUAUCUCUACUAAGGUGAAUUUUAGUACAUUGCAUUUUUCAAGGAUGCUAUCCAAUUAUUUAAUUUUUCAAAUAUAUUUGUAUAGAGUCAAACAAAAUAGUCUGUAAGAAUCUUUUAAAAUUUACUUUGUUUCAAGGUUAUUUCCCCCAUAACAUUUUUAAAUUCAUAUAUCUGUGCUUUCUCCUUUUUUUUCUGAGUUAGAUUAGGUGGUAGUUUAUCUAGUUUAUUAAUUUUUCCUCAAGAACAAGCAUUUUGAUUGAUUUAUCAAUUUUGUUAUAUUUUUGCUUGCUGUUUUAUUAAUUUCUACUUCUAUAUUUUAAAAAAUUUUUCUUCUGCUUCCCCCAUCCCCUACCUACUUUUCUGAGUUGGGAAUUUAAUUCAUUUAUUUUUAUUUAUCUAAGUAUCAUAAGUAUGUAGAGCUAUGUAUUUUCCUAUAGUCACUGUUUUAAUUGUAUCUCAUAAAUGUCUUAGGAAGAGUUCAUGAAUAUUUUCUGAGUUUCCAUCUGUAUCAAACUGUUUCCCUAUAGGCUUGGUACUUUAAAAACAGUCUGCCUACAUAUAACACUCUGGGCUCAUAUUUUCCUUUUUUGAGUUUCUUAAAACUGUUCUUGCACAGUUUUCUUGCUUUGUAUGCUGUUUUAUGAUCUUAUUUCCUUUGUAAGUGAUUUGGCCUUUUUUGCUUGGAUGCCCAGAAGAUUGCUUGUAUAUAUUUAAUGUCUAAUAGGCCUAUUAUACUGUGUCUUAGAUGUAUGUCUAUAUAUUACAAUUGACCAUUCUGGGUUAGUCUUCUUAGGUACACAAAUAUAUCCAAGUUUUCUUUUAUUUAUACAAAGUUUUAUUGGAUUGUGGUUUAAUAUGUGAUUAAAUAUGUGAUUUCUCUCAUUUCAUUGUUUUUGUUUUUCUUGCCAGAAACCCAAAUGAUAAUGCCCAGUCUUCUUUCUCUCUGAUGGUUUUCACCUUAUUUAUUUUGUUUUCAUUUUCUUGGAAUUUUUCAUAUAUUUUUAAACUUCUGCUUUGAGAGAAAUCAAUUUUCUCUUGAGUACUUUGAAAUUAUUCUUCCUACAUAAGAUGUUUUUGCCUUUUUCUUUAAUUUCCCUCCUGGGGACUAUCUUUUUUUCGUAUAUUACUUUAUUUAAUUCUGCUUUUCUGAUUUAACAUUUUUUCUUUUUGCAAAAUAUUUGUUUAAAAUAUUUAAUUCAAGAUGGGGUGUUAUGUUACAGAUUGUUUUCAGAGCCUCCAGUUAAAUUGGGGUUCCAGCACCUGUGUGGAUAGCUAAGGGGAAAUGAAGGGGAGCUGGAUAUGGUUGUUUACAAGGUGUCUUUCACGGGACACAUCUUUUACCUGGCAGACAGCCUAGUGUCUAGUUGUCUAACCUGUGACCAGGAAGAUUUCUCACACAGGAAACUUGUUUAUACUGGCAGAUGCCCUUUUGGCUCUUGUCUGACCUGUGUUCAGUUUAUGCCUGCCUGACCAUUGCUCUGGUUCUGGGAGCUCAACUUUGUGCUUCCCCGUCCCAUGUCAGGGAAAGAUAGGCCUGGCGUAGCCCCUGAUUCUUCAGAUGGAAGGUGGGAAUUCAAUACUCCAGCACAAAAGGAAACAAUUAAAAGAUUGUACUUACAAAUCUUGGGCAAGGAAGGUGGGAUGGCAGUCCUCUGUCCUAGGGUCAUGUGAGGCAGAAAUGAAGGAGUCAGGCAGAGAGACAGGGCAUGUGGCAAAUAGUUGUAUGUAUAAGGGAAUACAGUGUGGGUUAUUUUAAGUUCUUAGGCAAAUAUCUGACAGAUUCACUUAAAAGGAAACAGCGGAAGAGUGGGUAGUCCUAUUGAGAGACAGGACUAGCUGGAUUUCCUAAGUCGACUAAGAAUUCCUAAGCCCAGCUGGGGAAGGUUACCACACCCACCUUUAAACGCGGGGCUUGUAACUCAGCUCACACCGGACCCAUCAGGUAGUAAAUAGUGCUCACUAAAAUACCAAUUAGGGUAAAAGCAGGAGGUAAAGAAAUAGUCAAAUCAUCUACUGCCUGAGAGCACCGGGGAGAGACAAUGAUCGGAAAAUAAAUCCAGGCCUUUGUGCCAGCAGGGGCAACCCCCUCUGGGUCCCCUCCCAUUGUAUGUGAGCUCUGUUUUCAUUCUAUUAAAUCUUGCAACUGCACAUUCUUCUGGUCCGUGUUUCUGCCGGCUCAAACUGAGCUUUCGCUCUCCAUCCACCAUGGCUGAACGCCACAGUCGCAGACCUGCCGUUGACUUUCAUCCCUCUGGAUUUGGCAGGGUGUCCACUGAGCUUCUGAUUCAGCGAGGUGCUCAUUGCUGCUCCCAAUCAGGCUAGAGGCUCGCCAUUGUUCCUGCACCGGGAAGUGCCCGGGUUCAUCCUAAUUAGGCUGAACACUAGUCUCUGGGUUCCAUGGUUCUCUUCCGUGACCCACAGCUUCUAAUAGAGCUAUAACACUUACCGCAUGGCCCAAGGUUCCAUUCCUUGGAAUCCCUGAGGCCAAGAACCCCACGUCAGAGAACAAAAGGCUUGCUGCCAUCUUGGGAGCAGCCGGCCCCAUCUUGGGAGUGGCCCACCACCAUCUUGGGAGCUCUAAGAACAAAGACCUGCUGGUAACACUAUCUCUGGCCACCUAUCUCUGGCCUAUCUAUCUCUGGUUCCUAUCUCUGGCCAUGGCUUGAGCCAUUUGGGUGCAGUGAACAGGAAACUGUAAAGAGUGACAGCCCUGCUUCUACAAAAUGGAUGCCAAGUUGUUCCUGCGCGCUCACUCUCUCUCCUGCCACCUUGUGAUGAAGAUGCCUGCUUCCUCUUCUGUCAUGAUUGUAAGUUUCCUGAGGCCUCCCCAGCCAUGUGCAAAUGAGUUCAACAUCUGUUGCUCCCUGUGAUGUCUUUGCAUGGUAACAUUGUCCCUCCAAUGCUUCAAAAAGCUGAUUCAUUCACCUUUGUGAACUUAGCAGCUCCAAGUCAUCCAAACUCUGCCAGCUCUCAUCAGGACUUUUUAUCAGCUGAGACAGAAAGCAGCCCCUCAGAUAGCCCCCCAAAAGUCACAACAUUGAAUGCACAAUUUUUUCUUCUUUUUCCUUUCUAAGGGAGAAGCCUCAAGUUGAGAGUUUUCUUCCAAUCAGACCACGAUGUGCCAGCCAGGGAGAGGGAAUAUAGCAAGUUACACCUCCUCCCUCCUUAAAUAGCACUUAGUGUAAUUGAUGCCAAGUUAAUCCCUGUGCUGCCAAGAGAAGUGUCCAUGGGGUAGGAACCGCAUGCUGUUUUACCUGUGCUUAAAGAGGAAAGUGUCACGCGUCUCUGAAGAAACAAUGUUGACUGAAAAAUAGCGCCAAGUCUCAAACAAGAUCUUUGUGAAAAAUAAAGCAUGAAGCACAAAAUGAGAGAGUAAGUCUUAUUAUCUAAGAAUUAAAAUGAUGAUUAAGGUGAUUAUCUUUUUCUUCUUUAUUUUUAAAUAGUUUGCAAAAUUAUAACAAUAGGUAUGCAUUAUUUUAUAAUUAUUGACAACAUGGUGUUUUGUAAAACAAAGUGUAUUAUAUGAAGAAUAUUCUCAAUUUUAUUUGGAGCUAUAAAAAACUAUAAGACUAUGCAGAAGCACAAUAAAAUGCUAACAGUGAGUAUCUCUGAAUAGUGGGAUUAUUGCUAAAUUUUAUCCCACUCUCCUUUGCUUUUUAUUAUUGUCUAAAUUUCGUGCAGUGAGUAUAUGCUACCUUUGUAAUUUAAAAAUAAAGUUGGUUAAUUUUCU
rnacentral:lncRNA from 1 species